CCUACGGGAGGCAGCAGUGGGGAAUAUUGGACAAUGGGGGGAACCCUGAUCCAGCCAUGCCGCGUGUGUGAAGAAGGCCCUCGGGUUGUAAAGCACUUUCAGGGAGGAAGAACGCCUGGUGGUUAAUACCCAUCAGGAAAGACAUCACUCACAGAAGAAGCACCGGCUAACUCCGUGCCAGCAGCCGCGGUAAUACGGAGGGUGCGAGCGUUAAUCGGAAUUACUGGGCGUAAAGCGCGCGUAGGUGGCUUGAUAAGCCGGUUGUGAAAGCCCCGGGCUCAACCUGGGAACGGCAUCCGGAACUGUCAAGCUAGAGUGCAGGAGAGGAAGGUAGAAUUCCCGGUGUAGCGGUGAAAUGCGUAGAGAUCGGGAGGAAUACCAGUGGCGAAGGCGGCCUUCUGGACUGACACUGACACUGAGGUGCGAAAGCGUGGGUAGCAAACAGGAUUAGAUACCCGAGUAGUC
rnacentral:rRNA from 1 species